rnacentral:rRNA from 1 species
AUACGUAGGGGACGAGCGUUGUCCGGAAUUACUGGGCGUAAAGGGCGCGCAGGCGGAUAUUUAAGUCAGCGGUUAAAUCGUGGGGCUCAACCCCAUUCUGCCGUUGAUACUGGGUGGCUUGAUUGCGGUCGAGGUUGGCGGAAUUCGUUGUGUAGCGGUGAAAUGCAUAGAUAUGACGAAGAACACCGAUUGCGUAGGCAGCUGACCAGACCGCAAAUGACGCUCAUGCACGAAAGUGCGGGGAUCGAACAGGAUUAGAUACCCUGGUAGUCCGCACAGUAAACGAUGAAUACUUGUUUUCGGCGAUAUAAUGUCGGAGGCAAAGCGAAAGCGAUAAGUAUUCCACCUGGGGAGUACGCCGGCAACGGUGAAACUCAAAUGAAUUGACGGGG